GUUUCCCUGAAACUGGCCUGCGGAGGCGAAAUGUCAGAUAAGACGAGACUUGAAUUCCAGUUUAGCUGCUCGUCUCUGAGCCUCUGUUUCCUUCCCAUCAGAAGAGGGAUAAUCCUGCCUCCUCCUCCUUCUGACAGGUAACGAGAUGGUAACAUCACAACAGUGGCCAGCACUGCGCCUGUGAUACAAUGUGUGUUCUAAAUGUUAGCUACUCUCAUUGCUAUCAUCACCGCAUUCUUUGUUGUAAUCACUAAAGAUGAUGGCUUCGGGUGGCUGAGGACAAAUAAAUGGAGGGUAAUAAACACCAGAAUUGGAAGGAAAGAAAGAGGGAAAGAAUAAUCAGAAUAUUAAAACCAAAGCUAUCCAAAAAAAUGAGAUGUAUUGGUGGAGGGACAGAGGGACACACAGAUGGACAGCAUGUGAUAAAGCAAAAGAAAAUGCUGACAGUAGAAUCUAAGCAGUGUGUUUCUUUCAGGUUUGCUGUAUAUUUGAAAAAAUUUUAUAAUAAAAUGUUGGGAAAAUUUUUAAUUUUACGGUAACCCCCCAUAAACACUCAAAGACGAAGGAGGAUGGAUUUUCCUGUCUUCAUAUUUCUGUAGAGUGAAGAUCUUGUAACUCCCCUCCAGGCCGAAACAUCAAGCUGUCUCUGUGACUGGGAUUCACUCCCCUCCCCUCAGAUCCGUGCUUCUUAUUUCCUGCUGGUCCAGCUGACAGCUCCAACUGACACACACGCCACCAAUAUCACUCAGGUCCCAGGAGCCCCCGCUCAUCCUCUUUCUCUCAGGCCCCAACUCUCAGAGUCCACACAGCUUCCCACCCAGAAAACCGCAGAGAGAGAAGUCGGGGCCUGGGACUGAAGCCCUGUUUCCAGGCACUUGGAACUCGGAAGACAACCACAGCUUCUCCUGUCACCAUGACACAAGCGACCCUGUAGAGGGGCCAGCCUGGACACUGACGGAUGGGGACAGUCUGCGCUGGUUGCCAUGCCCCUCAGCAGGAGAGCGCUCUGAAAGAAUGGGAGGAUUACCAACUCUCCUUUGGGGCUGGGAUGCAACACAAACAUUUGAUGAUCAAUAGAAGACUCUAUAAAUAAUGAACAGAACUCACAGAAUUGUGCUUGGACUCCUGAUGCCUGGAAAUGCCUGCCAUAUUUUGCUUCUCCUCCAGGGCUCAGUCUAGGGUGGCCUGUGCACCUACGGGACAAUGCACAAUGCUGAAGUCCACAAUUGGCCACAAGAGGGCAGGAGGUCACCAGCAAGGAUGCUCAGGCCUAAACUUCACGCUGGAGCAAAUCAGGCCCCAGGCGCUGAUGAUGUCUGACGCUGAGACCACAAACUGAAACAUUCCAACCAACAUCAACCCUAAACCUAAGUUAGUGCCCAAAGUUCUGCAGAUGCCAUUCCUCUGCCUAAAGCUCUCUGUCUCUUAUUCAAGGCAGCGAAAUAGGCACCUCCUCAAUCUUCACACACCAAACGGAACCUCAAGGUGAUCACGAACUUAUUCCAAGACAAAUGACUACUUCUGUUUGCAAGAAUCUCAAUUUCAAAUGUAGAAAGAAAUUGAGAAGCUUUAGGUGUUUAGGGAACAGCCUCAAGAAUUCCCAGAACCCUCUUAUUACAAUUUUUUCUUAUACAAAUAAAAAUAUCUAAAAA
ensembl:lncRNA